rnacentral:rRNA from 1 species
UACGUAGGGUGCGAGCGUUGUCCGGAAUUAUUGGGCGUAAAGAGCUUGUAGGCGGUUUGUCGCGUCUGCCGUGAAAAUCCGGGGCUCAACCCCGGACUUGCGGUGGGUACGGGCAGACUAGAGUGUGGUAGGGGAGACUGGAAUUCCUGGUGUAGCGGUGAAAUGCGCAGAUAUCAGGAAGAACACCUAUGGCGAAGGCAGCACUCUGGGACGGUACUGACGCUGAGACGCGAAAGCGUGGGGAGCGAACAGG